AGAGUUAGGCAACUGCCGAACCAUUUAACCUUACUGUUAAUUCGUUGCCUCGGCGGGCGGCCUUCGCCUCACCGCGCCCUUGCGGGGAGCCCCCCGGGGGACCACUAAACUCUGAUAUGUAUGCGUCUGUGAGUAAGACUUUUAAAUAAAUUA
rnacentral:misc_RNA from 1 species